rnacentral:rRNA from 1 species
UACGUAGGGGGCUAGCGUUGUCCGGAAUCAUUGGGCGUAAAGCGCACGCAGGCGGUCUUGUAAGUUUCGCGUGACAGGUGGUGGCUUAACUGCCACAGGCCUUGGAAAACUGCAAGACUUGAGGACUUCAGAGGGAUGCGGAAUUCCAGGUGUAGCGGUGAAAUGCGUAGAUAUCUGGAGGAACACCGGUGGCGAAGGCGGCAUCCUGGACCAAUUCUGACGCUGAGGAGCGAAAGCCAGGGGAGCAAACGGG